UACGGGGGGAGCAAGCGUUGUUCGGAAUUACUGGGCGUAAAGGGCGCGUAGGCGGUUUGUUAAGUCCUGUGUGAAAUCCCCCGGCUCAACUGGGGAACUGCACAGGAAACUAGCGGGCUUGAGUUCGGGAGAGGGAAGCGGAAUUCCGGGUGUAGCGGUGAAAUGCGUAGAUAUCCGGAGGAACACCGGUGGCGAAGGCGGCUUCCUGGACCGACACUGACGCUGAGGCGCGAAAGCUAGGGGAGCAAACGGG
rnacentral:rRNA from 1 species